rnacentral:rRNA from 1 species
AUACGGAGGGUGCAAGCGUUACUCGGAAUCACUGGGCGUAAAGGGCGCGCAGGCGGUUUGGUAAGUCAGAUGUGAAAGCCCACGGCUCAACCGUGGAAGUGCAUUUGAAACUGCCAGACUUGAGUACCAGAGGGGAAAGUGGAAUUCCCGGUGUAGAGGUGAAAUUCGUAGAUAUCGGGAGGAAUACCGGUGGCGAAGGCGACUUUCUGGCUGGAUACUGACGCUGAGGCGCGAAAGCGUGGGGAGCAAACAGGAUUAGAAACCCUAGUAGUCC